CUGCACCUCUAAGUCAUGGUCAAAGGAAUGGCAAAGUCCCUUGUAAGACAUACGCAAGCACCCGAUAAGGCCAGCGGAAACAACACUCAAAACUAUACGUGACAAAUGACCAAGAUACUUGGCCGAUUCAUGCGGAUGCCGUCAUCACAGGCUACACGGCUAAGUCAUGGUCAAGACAUAUGGUGAAGUCCCUUAUAUGACAUAUGCAAUCACUCCAUAAGACCAGUGGCGAGCACACUGAAAACUAUAUGUGCCAAGUGACCAAGAUACUUGACCGAUUCAUGCGGAUGCCUUCGUCCCAGGCUACACGGGUAAGUCAUGGUCAAGACAAAUGGUAAAGUCCCUUGUAUGACAUACGCAAUCACUCGAUAAGGCCAGUCGCGAGCACACUCAAAACUAUUUGUGCAAGUGACCAAGAUACUUGGCUGAUUCAU
rnacentral:rRNA from 1 species